rnacentral:rRNA from 1 species
GGCAACGGAUAUCUCGGCUCUCGCAUCGAUGAAGAACGUAGCGAAAUGCGAUACUUGGUGUGAAUUGCAGAAUCCCGUGAACCAUCGAGUUUUUGAACGCAAGUUGCGCCCGAGGCUUMUGCUAAGGGCACGUCUGCCUGGGCGU